AUGGUCAGAGCUGGCAGAACCUUGGGCUUCCCAGUGGUCUGCGCAUGUGCAUCUUCAGACUGCGACAAGGGAGCAGUCAUAAAGUUCUUUUCAGAAACCUGUCACAAGUUGCACAGCUUAACAGUGGUAUGCCUUCAUGCUCUGCUCUGGAGCUGCAGUAACAACCUCCUAGGGAGUGCAGGUCAUUUAAUGAUUCCAUACCUGUCAAGACAGAGAGAACAUCCAAUGGCAUUGUCUCAAAGUGUAAGAUACUGUUGUCUAAACAGGGUGUGCUGGUCUCCAGCCUCUGCUUCAGCACUGUGCAUUUAUUCACUGAUGAUGUAAAAUGUAGAGAAGACAGAAGACGGGGGGCUUUAAGGGUUAUUUC
rnacentral:lncRNA from 1 species